rnacentral:rRNA from 1 species
UACGAAGGGGGCUAGCGUUGCUCGGAAUCACUGGGCGUAAAGGGUGCGUAGGCGGGGCUUUAAGUCAGGGGUGAAAUCCUGGAGCUCAACUCCAGAACUGCCUUUGAUACUGAGGAUCUUGAGUACGGGAGAGGUGAGUGGAACUGCGAGUGUAGAGGUGAAAUUCGUAGAUAUUCGCAAGAACACCAGUGGCGAAGGCGGCUCACUGGUCCGGUACUGACGCUGAGGUGCGAAAGCGUGGGGAGCAAACAGG